AGGAAUUGACGGAAGGGCACACCAGGAGUGGAGCCUGCGGCUUAAUUUGACUCAACACGGGAAAACUUACCAAGACCGAACAGUAGAAGGAAUGACAGAUUAAGAGUUCUUUCAUGAUUUAUUGGGUAGUGGUGCAUGGCCGUUCUUAGUUGGUGGAGUGAUUUGUCAGGUUAAUUCCGGUAACGAACGAGACUGAAACCUAUUAAUUAGUUUCCUGCCUAUACGACAGGAAUCUCCGCAAGGUCAGGUGCCUCGGUACCACUUCUUAAAGGGACACAUUUCAAUUGUCUCAUUUUAAUCGAUGUCUCUGGCUCCGGUCAGAACUCUUUUAACGUGAGAAAAAGAAAAAGGAAGCAUUCAGCAAUAACAGGUCUGUGAUGCCCUUAGACAUCUUGGGCCGCACGCGCGCUACAAUGGAGUUACUAGAGAGUAUUUUAUCAUCCAACCUUAAUAUUGUCACAACUACCUUGUUCAGAACUUAAAGAGAAAUCUCGAGUUUAUGGACUUCAGGGGAGUAUGGUCACAAGGCUGAAACUUAAAGGAGUUGACGGAAGGGCACACAGAGUGGAGCCUGCGCUUAAUUU
rnacentral:rRNA from 1 species